rnacentral:rRNA from 1 species
UACGGGGGGUGCGAGCGUUGUCCGGAUUCAUUGGGCGUAAAGGGUGUGUAGGUGGCGCGCUAAGUCGGGUGUGAAAUUUCGGAGCUUAACUCCGAAACUGCAUUCGAUACUGGCGUGCUUGAGGACUGGAGAGGAGACUGGAAUUCAUGGUGUAGCAGUGAAAUGCGUAGAGAUCAUGAGGAAGACCAGUGGCGAAGGCGGGUCUCUGGACAGUUCCUGACACUGAGACACGAAGGCCAGGGGAGCAAACGGG